AAUAUAUCUGCCAUAGAGCUCAAUGUUUCACAUAGCCCUCCCACAAUAUAUCUGCCAUAGAGCUCAACAAUUCGCACACCAAAAUUUAAAUGGAACAGCUUGAAUUCAGCUUGAUGUCACAGUAUCAAGCAUUCAGUCAUUCUCAGAGUGCUCACAUAGUAGCACUGAUUACAUCCCUUUCCCUAGAUGUACAUUAGUAAUUAAUGUGAUGAACAGUCAUUCCAAUAUGAUGUAUGAUAUUUCAUGAAGUUAUGUAAUGAGACAGAAAUUCAAUGAACAAUAAUGACUCAUGCAUUCUGUUUUACAUUAUCAUUAUUCAUGACUCUCCAUCUUGGAUAAUUGAUGAUCAGUUUUUGGAAGACUUGCGGUCCGUGAGUAAUUACUUAUGUCUUUUUUGUUUAUUGACAACCAAUAACACAAGACAAAGAAAAGACCAGAGUGUUAAUCUGAUACUAUGAAUAAGUACAGGCCUUGUGAACAGCAGUGUGUCUUCUUCAAGGCUACAAAUUAAAUCAGUUUCUUUAGAUUUAUCAUUACUCUCCCCAAAUGUUCUCAAGGUAGGUUGGAUUAUGAUGUAUAGAUAUUCUUC